ACUUUAAAACUUUUCCCCCCUCUUUUACUAAUAUUUAGUUGAUAUUUUGUUAGCUACAUACUAAGCUACUGUUAAUAAAUAUGCCACAGCUUGUCAAUGUAGCAUUAAUGGCUUGAUAAUGACUAAUGGUUACUGCUUCGACAUUACAGGGACUGAUGAACACACUCAGCUUAUUCAGUGGAGAGUGGCUGAUGAAGCCCUUCACUGGAAAGCGUAAUGCUGCCAUCAAAGGUUUUGAAUCUUUUGUGACAGAGCAGGGACUUGAGGGCAAAAUUUCUGCCACUCAAGUCAAAAGAAAGUGGCAGAACCUAAAACAAAAAUAUAAAACCCGGGAUAUCCAACAAAGAUAUCGAGGAACUUCUCCUUGUGGUCGGUGAUGGCCUGCAGCUGAACAGAGUGGAAUAGCUUCCUAUUAAAAUAGCAUGGGGCAUCACUUGCUGGUGGCUUGAUCCGGAUGUGGCAUCCGUCUAUUGCACCAGCUACCAUGUGGAAAACUGGAGACCCAGCCAGCUGGGCAAAACCUGCCCCCAGGUCA